AGGAGGCUGCUUACUAUAGAAGCUCGGACAAAGACCGGUUGCCAUGGAAGCUCGGAUGGAGACUUCUUAUUACAGAAGCUCGACUGAAGUCCAUCUGCAAUAGAAGUUCAGACGAAAUUCGCUUACAGUAGAAGUCCGGAGUAGACCACUUACGGUAGAAGUUUGGCUGAAAUUUGAAAGGCGGUCGACCACCGUAGAAACUUGGAUGGAGUCU
rnacentral:lncRNA from 1 species